UGGCUUAGAUGGUAAAGCAUCUGUCUGCAAUGCAGGAGACCCAGGUUCGAUCCCUGG
rnacentral:tRNA from 1 species